rnacentral:rRNA from 1 species
AACAUAUGAGGCUGCACCGCCAACAGGCGGCAAGGCUGGAGUAUUUUAUUACCCUUGUCUUUUGCGCACUUGUUGUUUCCUGGGCGGGUUCGCCCGCCUCCAGGACCACAUGAUAAACCUUUUUUAUGCAGUUGCAAUCAGCGUCAGUACAACAAAUGUAAAUCAUUUACAACUUUCAACAACGGAUCUCUUGGUUCUGGCAUCGAUGAAGAACGCAGCGAAAUGCGAUACGUAGUGUGAAUUGCAGAAUUCAGUGAAUCAUCGAAUCUUUGAACGCACAUUGCGCCCUUUGGUAUUCCAAAGGGCAUGCCUGUUCGAGCGUCAUUUGUACCCUCAAGCUUUGCUUGGUGUUGGGCGUUUUUUGUCUUUGGUUUUGUCCAAAGACUCGCCUUAAAACGAUUGGCAGCCGGCCUACUGGUUUCGCAGCGCAGCACAUUUUUGCGCUUGCAAUCAGCAAAAGAGGACGGCACUCCAUCAAGACUCUAUAUCACUUUUGACCUCGGAUCAGGUAGGGAUACCCGCUGAACUUAAGCAUAUCAAUAGGCGGAAGAA